UUUUUUUAGCUCGUAGUUUAAUUCCCAACUAUGGUUUCGUGAAGUCAGAACGCCCCGUUAAGCAUUUUUUCUGCCUCGCCACCAACAGCUUUCUCUCUGAUUGCCGCCCCACCUCCUCGUCCUCCUCUUCCUCUGACUGGCGGUGCACCCUCCAAGUCCCACCAUAGCUGCUGCCUCGCCCACCUUCUCGAUCGGUGAAUCCUCCACCGACAACUCUGUCUACCUCGUCUACGAGAACCCUAGCUUCGACCUGCUCGCCUCCUGGAUCGAUCUCGCGCAUCCGGAUCGCGGUCAACAUUGCCCAAGGCGUUCGCUACUACUCUUCCUCCACCGCCGGCGUCCACAACAGGAUCAUUAGCUCCGCCAUCAUAAUCACCGAAGCGCGACCUCCGCGCCAAGAUCUGCCAUUUCGGCGCCGCAGAUCUCGCCGGAGAGGCCCUCAUUCCAGUCGACAAAAUCGGGAACACCUCCCAAAUUCCCUCGCAAGGACUGCGGGUGUGGCAGAGGCACGUCACGGGCAGGGUGGGAUAAUGGCGCCGGCCGUCUCCCGUCGAUCGGGCGUAUUCUCCUUUGGGAUAUGAUCCCGGAGCUCCUCUUCGGAAAGCAGCCGCUCAAUUAUCAGUACCGCGGGGAUCGGAAAGAUUUCGAGGUGGCGUUCAGUUCCUCAUCGAAACGGAACGGGAGGCGAUGAGGCCGGACGGGGAGAAGGAGCGUGAGGGGCGGGUAAGACGGUUAGAAGAUCUGUGGUUGAGGGACUUAUUCCCGGCGGAUGCAGCGGAGAAGCUGGCGCUGGUGGCGACGAAGAUGUACCUAGAAUCGAAGGCGUGGCCGGAACCUUUCGGUGUCGGUGGCUGAGCGGUGAGAGUAAGCGAGCGCUGACGCGACUGAAGCCGACGGGACUCGGACCGGUUGUAUCGGCAAUAUCCAGCAGUGGUGCUCAACAUUGCACUCGAAAUGGCAAAGCGGCUCCUCUACCAUCUCGAUUUGCAGGAUGAGUCCUCUAGGGAAGGAAGACUGGUAGGGAAUGUUUGAUUUGGUGACAAAUCUAAGCGAAUUGCUGUCUUUUCGGUUCAAGAUGUGACAAGGGAAUGAUCAAGCUUAGGGACAGUCUUUCCGAAGCAAAACAACAUAAAGAUCCAGGUACUCCAACUAAACCCAUCACUGAAAUUCUAAGUAGAACCCAGAUCAGAAUUACCUAAAGCAUAGCAAUAUCCGGCAAAUUUAUCUCCGAUCACAGAUGUGAUAGCCAUUAUUAUGCCUUGAAGGGAGGUGCUGAAGAGCCUGUCAAUCUCUGAUGAUGGAACAAGAAUCUCAGAUCUGAUAGAGAAAUGAAAACUUAGUAACCACAUACUGAAAUAUUUGCGAAUGAGGUUCACUAACUUUAUUGACCAUUUCAGUUGAUUGAAAUCCUCCAACCAAGAAAUCAUCUUUGGUUCGACAUUCUCUGUUUCUCAGCUUUAAGAAGCAUCUUCACUCGUGGAAAAGUUUCACAAGCUGUUCAAUUCCAGAGGAGACGCUGCUCCUACUCGUUCAGAGAAGUUGUUCUUUCUCGCUCGGAGAAGUUGUUCUAAGCCUUCAUUUGCUUCCUUUAGUGGUGACUGUUGAUCAAAGGACAAGCUUUGUAUUCCUUGUCUUGUUGCAACUUGAUUCUCUUUCAAUCAAACCAACAAUGACAAACAUCCCCAUCAA